AAUAAUUUGAAUGAAUCUAGGCCUAGCAGUCUAGUAAAUGUGACCCACAGUCUUUGCAAAAUCCUAAUCUGAGACUGGCCUAGUCUUUCAAAAAUCUUUUCCAAAUCUUUGCUAAGUCUGUCAAUGUAAGGUAGGCUUAAGUUGACACUUGUCAGUGUCCAUUCUUUUGUUGGUCCAGAGUUUAUUUUUACUGCAUGAACGGUGUUUAUAAUCUCGUUCAGAGAGGGUGAAACCGAAGCCAGUCAGGCUCUUGGUUCAGUCCUUCGGGUACCCAUCUGACGUCAUUACGUCGGCAGACGUCUCCCUGGAAGUCCGAAGUUGCCCGAGAACAAUGGCUGCCUGACGCCGGCUGUUUGACUGUUUGAAAGCCAAGGUGCUGCAGGUCUUCCAGCUACUGUUUGGAGAAGAUAUUUCCUCUCAAUUUAUGGAAGUAGGGAAUUUUUCCUGAAGGCAGAAAUCAAGGAUUCAAGAACCCAAGUUGGACUCUUGAUUCCACUGAGACCACUGUGUGCAUUUUGAAAUGUUCCAAAUGUGUGUCACGUCCAUACGGAAGAAGUUCCAAGCCCACAAUGGGCUCUAUGAACUGUCCAGGGCAAAGUCGGUCUACCCUGAUGACACUCCCUGUUCCUUGAUGGUAACCAUGGCUGCUGCCCUCAACGUGGUGGGUGUGGACUAUAGGAGCCCUCAGAAAUAAACUGAUAUCAAUAAUUAAUAUGGAUGGUGAUUGUGGCAAGGGUGCCUCCAUAAGGUGCCAUCCAGAAGCCCCAGCCUGGAGCCAGUGGCUGCUAUUGCAAGACUCAUGGGGGAUGAUCUGCAGGCAAAGCUACGAUUAGACACUUGACAUUUACUGCGAAAGGUACCAUCAGAGCACCUCUCCCUACCCUGCAGGAUAUCUAUACCAGAAAAGUACAACAACGGCCCAAAACUAUUUCCAAAAGACAUUUCACACCCUGACCAUGGACUGUUUAAACCACUGAGGUCAAGCAGACGUCUCUGUUCCCACAUGGCUAAAACAGAAAGGAAACAAGGAGUCUUUUCUCAAUAUGCUGCUCCAUCGCUCCACCCCUGAAACAUCAGUUUCGAUCUUGAACACAUGAGGAUGUUGCCUCAAGUUUGCCUGCAGACAGUCAAUAUAGACAGGUGUGUUGUUUUGAUUUGAUGUUUAGAUUGCCAUGCAUACAGUAUCUUUACAAUAAUGAUGGAACAAAUUCUCAUUUGGUUUUACCUACAUUGGGAUUAAAGGAACACUUAACCGUUUUUUCAUAUUAAACUACAUUAUUCCCUUAACUAAGACGAGUUGAUACAUACCUCUCACGUUUCAAUGCGUGCACUCACUGGCUCUGGCGCGCG